AGACUGGAUUUUUGCCUGACUACGGUGCUCAGCCUUCUAGACAAUAGUUAUGCUAAGGGAUUAUCUUUUAACAUUGUGCAGUUAUCUCCUUUGUUUGUUUUCUUUUUUCAUUAUUCACAUAAGCCAAGGGAAAUGAAAAGCAUCUUAUUUCAGGCAAAAAGGCCUGUGAAUGAUUAACUCUGGUUCCAUGCGUUGGGACUUUGCAUAGCAACCCCGUGGCUUGCAACGACAAAAAAGCUCAAGGCAGGAACAGCAGCCCAGGGACCUGAGACCAGCGUUCUCAAAUGAAGGUGCCAGAUCUGCUGUUAGAGGAGAAUUCUUCUGUCCUAGCUGUGUCUCUGUGAUCUGUGGAUGAGGGUGGGAAAGCACCACUCAGUCAAUUGGGGUGUACAAAAUGGAGUUUGAGAAGGUCUCACAUCCAGGUUGUUUUGAAGCAAAGUCCAAGCAUUGUAUCACUUCAUCUGCAAAUAUUUCAAUAAGUACCCAAAAGUGGUUGGACUGAGUCCCAUGAAGCCAGAUCACUUCUGACUGCAAGGAGCUUGGAAAAGCAAGUAUCUGGAUCUUUUACCAGCUAAAUUUGGAGAAUUAUUGAUCAAAUUUGGAUCUCUGUGUGCUGUCCUCCAAUUUAAUACUUUCUGUGUUGCUGUUUUAUUUUCUUUCUUCUGGAACCUGGCAAAGUGCGUCAAGCGAUGAGGCUUCCUCUUUGAAGAUCACAGGUGAGAAGAUUAGGUGCUUUCUCAGAAGCCCAGCAACCUGAUGGGAGUGUGGAGUGAGCAAGACCCAAAUCGGAGCUUCAUCCCUGCAUGGUUCAUUUUGCUUAUUUGGCAAACUUGCCCUGCAGAUUGAGAAAUUAAGGUCGCAUCAUAUAAGUGAAGUUGAACACUACUUUUCUAAUACCCUACAUCAGGUACGUUCCUAAAUAAACUGGAACUUACCUCAGAAGCCUCAGAAAAUUAGGAAAAUAAAAUGCAUUACUUUGUAUAUUAAGAAGCUCAAAAUCCCAUAUUUGAUUCACUAUAGAAUUACUUCAGAAUCUCAUAUGUUGUUUAAGCAAAACCUGUCUCAUAUUAAAACAUACCUACUGCUGUGUUGUCUAUUUGCUUUUCUCUUUUUAAAUGCCCUUUUGAGAAAUGCUGCAAAAAUUUUGUCCUGACAUGUGGGGGCCCAACUGUUUCCUGCUAUACUCAGCUUGGAGGACAUAGCCUCUAGGUUAUACUCUUUUGAAAUUGUCCUGUUGAAAUGCAUGUUUUGAUUUUGGGAUUUUCCAGAUGCUUCCUAAGUAGGUCCCAUGUGUUAAAACUUGUGGAAAUUCAGCAUGUUUCUCAAUGUGAGGCAUCUAAGUAGUUCACAAAUUUAAGGCAAUUAGUCUAUUACUGGGAUAAGACGAUUAAUUCUAUUAUAUUCCAUUGUUUACAUAUUACUUGUUUAAUCCAUUUCCUAUUCUAUGCUUUGUUUUUUCAUUUGUCUGAAUUAUUAAAAGUCACUACAUUUUAACAUUUUAA
rnacentral:lncRNA from 1 species